AGUGAACGCUGGCGGUAGGCCUAACACAUGCAAGUCGAACGGCAGCACAGUAAGAGCUUGCUCUUACGGGUGGCGAGUGGCGGACGGGUGAGGAAUACAUCGGAAUCUACUUUUUCGUGGGGGAUAACGUAGGGAAACUUACGCUAAUACCGCAUACGACCUACGGGUGAAAGCAGGGGAUCUUCGGACCUUGCGCGAUUGAAUGAGCCGAUGUCGGAUUAGCUAGUUGGCGGGGUAAAGGCCCACCAAGGCGACGAUCCGUAGCUGGUCUGAGAAGAUGAUCAGCCACACUGGAACUGAGACACGGUCCAGACUCCUACGGGAGGCAGCAGUAGGGAAUAUUGGACAAUGGGCGCAAGCCUGAUCCAGCCAUACCGCGUGGGUGAAGAAGGCCUUCGGGUUGUAAAGCCCUUUUGUUGGGAAAGAAAAGCAGCAGGUUAAUACCCCGCUGUUCUGACGGUACCCAAAGAAUAAGCACCGGCUAACUUCGUG
rnacentral:rRNA from 1 species